rnacentral:lncRNA from 1 species
AAACACCAAGGCUUACUACUUCCGUCUUAAUUGAACACAUAAUCCAUUCUAUGACUAUCAAUUCAACAAUACUUCCAUAUUCUUAUCAGUUCAUCUCCCACUUACUCUCUUUGCAGUUUAUAUAUAUUCAAUUACUGAUCUCCAACUUACUUAUUAUAUUCAAUUUCUCAAUUCAACACAUAGAAUUCAAUAUCUUCACUUAACACAACACAAUUCAAUAAUCUCAAUUCUCAAGGUCACAGAUUUUCUCCAAAACAAUUAGUCCAAAGUCAUAUUCCACAAUACUCUAAUCAUAGUUUCAAGAAUACUUCUCUCAAUCACAAUUCUUCAUAAGCAAAUAAUAAAAGCAAAGUAAACAAAGAGGUAGCACCAAGCUUACUCUGGCUUAUGAUCCUCAGAGUGUGGCCCUCAUAAAUCAAUCUCUGAUUUAUUCCACACACUCAAUUCUCAGUAUUCAGAAACUAUCCAUUA